GACUCAUGAUGAAAAAACAUUUCAUUCAGUUCUGCUUCUGAACUUACAUGAUGAUUUCCUAUACCAUACCAAGAUCUCUGAUGG
rnacentral:snoRNA from 1 species